rnacentral:rRNA from 1 species
CAGCAGCCGCGGUAAUACGUAGGGUGCGAGCGUUAAUCGGAAUUACUGGGCGUAAAGCGUGCGCAGGCGGUUUGUUAAGACAGAUGUGUAAUCCCCGGGCUCAACCUGGGAACUGCAUUUGUGACUGGCAAGCUAGAGUGUGGCAGAGGGGGGUGGAAUUCCGCGUGUAGCAGUGAAAUGCGUAGAUAUGCGGAGGAACACCGAUGGCGAAGGCAGCCCCCUGGGCCAACACUGACGCUCAUGCACGAAAGCGUGGGGAGCAAACAGGAUUAGAUACCCGCGUAGUCCCUGUCUCUUAUAC